CUUCAGUGAUGAAAACUACUCAGCUCACUUUGAUCCGAUGUGAAAAUUCCACAAACAUCUGAGCAGC
ensembl:snoRNA SNORD29 Small nucleolar RNA SNORD29